GGCAAGUUGCCCUUGGCUACA
rnacentral:miRNA from 1 species